rnacentral:lncRNA from 1 species
AUAGGGCAAAUCUCCAAAAUAGCACCUUUCUAAGUUUAUAUCACAAAAAUAACACUCAAAAACUAAAAUGACCAAAAUAGCACCUUUCUAAGUUUAUCCUUUGAAAAUUUUAAUUUUUUUUAUUUUUCAAAAUUUGAAAACUUAUCCCAAAACCUCAUUUCUCAACUCUAAACUCUAAACCCUAAACCUUAAACUCUAAACCCUAAACCAUAAACCCUAAACCCUAAACUCUAAACCCUAAACCCUAAAAUCUAAACCCUAAACCCUAAACCCUAAACUCUAAACCCUAAACCCUAAAUCCUAAACCCUAAAUCCUAAACCCCACCCUUUAACU